GGACUUCCGCGAUGUACGCAUUGUUGCACAUGGCAACACAUGUAACAUCUUGUAUAUUGUCUAUGGUAAGCAAACCAUACUUUUCCUUCCUGUUUCUCACACAUGAAGUUUCAAGUUUGUUAACUUAUUUAUUAACGUGUGCCCGAAGCCAGCCUCGUACAGCCAGAGCAUCAUCUCUCUAAUUAUCUGAAAGCUAAGUAUAAUGAGUAUAUAAAAGAGGACUUGUUCGUCCCACGCAUAUAUUUCCUACAUUUAUUUAUUGUGAAAUCUAUGUAUGACUAGAUUCAAUGUACUGACCGCAAUGUGUUGAGUUGACUUAUAAAGACGUGACAUGACGUGUGAUGAUGUUGCAAGAGAACGUAAUGAUUACAUGCUCUUUGGUUACGAGCAGAGGUGUGCUUGUUUAUGUCAUGGUCAGGUCGGAGAUGCGUCUGCCGACCUGAGCCCAACCCUCGUCUGGCAUGCCAUAGAAUUGAUAGUGACCUGUAAGGGGCUCGUACACCCUUCGGAUAGGUGCACUCUUGGCCAUAGCAAGGGACUGGUGUUUCCCUCGUCUGGCAUGCCAUAGAAUUGAUAGUGACCUGUAAGGGGCUCGUACACCCUUCGGAUAGGUGCACUCUUGGCCAUAGCAAGGGACUGGUGUUUCCCUCGUCUGGCAUGCCAUAGAAUUGAUAGUGACCUGCAAGGGGCUCGUACACCCUUCGGAUAGGUGCACUCUUGGCCAUAGCAAGGGACUGGUGUUUCCCUCGUCUGGCAUGCCAUAGAAUUGAUAGUGACCUGUAAGGGGCUCGUACACCCUUCGGAUAGGUGCACUCUUGGCCAUAGCAAGGGACUGGUGUUUCCCUCGUCUGGCAUGCCAUAGAAUUGAUAGUGACCUGUAAGGGGCUCGUACACCCUUCGGAUAGGUGCACUCUUGGCCAUAGCAAGGGACUGGUGUUUCCCUCGUCUGGCAUGCCAUAGAAUUGAUAGUGACCUGCAAGGGGCUCGUACACCCUUCGGAUAGGUGCACUCUUGGCCAUAGCAAGGAACUGGUGUUUCCCUCAUUUGGCAUGCUAUGGAAUUGAUCUAUGGUUUGUGACUGGUUGCGACCAGGUCACCGCACUCCUUAUCCAGUGCAAAGGUUGACUGAUGAGACUUACCAAGACAUAGACAGUUGUGACUAUUACACAGACAUGCAUACCUAUAUAUGUACUUUGAGUCCUGUGGGACAAUGUUGAACUUUACUAUGAAUAAUGAUUUCUUGUUGUCUGUUCCUACAUACAUAUAUACAUGUUACAAUGUUUAUGUAUCUAUCUUGAGAGAUAGAUGUGUUAUAUUAUGAUACAGGUUAAGGAUACUUAGUGACCCAUGGUCAUAAAUCUAUUUUCUACACAGGUGGUGGUAUAAGAUCAAGUUAGAGCUGGCCUCUGCGCUUGGAGCUCAUGAACCAGGGAGACAUACUCCAAUUACAUCAUUUGAAUAAGGUAUGAACCGCACUGUCCAUAGAAUAACCGACCUCUCUUUCCUAAUAAUAUAAGCGAAGCAGAUCUAAGUUCAUUAAGAUAAUAAACAAGUAUACAUGACAAGUUGAUAGUAAACUUAUAUUUCAUUUAAUAAGGUCUUAGAAUCAUUAGGUAACUCGAACUCAGGCAAUCAGUCUAUUUAUCUUAGUAUUUUGUAUCAACGUCGAUACAAAAAUUGGUGGAAGAGUGUCUUGGAUUUAAUUCAGACCCACAUAAACUCAUGAAAUUAUCUAAUAAAUUAUUUACCAAAUUUAUACUAAAAUACACAAAGAGAUGGCAAAAAUAAAAUGGUCAAAACAUAUUAAGACAUGAUUUAAGUACGCAUAAUCUAUAAUGACUGCAUGAAUAUUCAAUAAUCAUGAUUAUUUGCAGUAUUUGUGACAAUAAAAUGCAAUUCUUAAGAGGUCAAAGGUCGCCCUGUGGAUAGUGUUGUUCAUACUAAUAACACAUAGAGCUACCACCUUUAAUAAUCAUACACCCAAAUUGUUUGUGUAUUGCUGAACGAUUUUGAACUUAAGUUGUACCGAAUUUAUAUCGCCAAGGUCAUAAGUACGAUGUGAUCGACUUAAAUAUCAAUAUUAAUCUUAAGUUGCGUAUUUUAUGACUUCAAAUUGAUCACAACUUUGAUAUUUCAAAUCGUCGCGCCAUUUGACGCACGCCGCGCAUGCGCGACGCGACGCGAUCUACUUCAUUCAUUCAUUCGUUCACUUCACAAGAUGGAGGAAAUUAAUUUACCAGUGGAAGUUUUACGUGAAUUGUGUUUUGUGCGAUGCUGAAAGUGUUGAAAUAAAGUGUUAUAUUUUUAUCAAGAAACAAAGGAAUUUCAAGAAAUACAGCGUAUGUGCUGACGGGUUCGGAUUGUCACAUUUCAACGAGCCGAGUGUGAAACCAAGCGUCUCUACGCGAAAAUACUUCUCUGUAUGAGGAGAUUAUAAACAUUCUUACGAAAAAAUCACAAGAAUAAGAGAGAAUAUUAUGGAAGCUAUUCUGCUGAAUCGCCUUUCUACAUUUGCCACAAACAUCAAAGAACAUCAAGUCAAAGCAUCAGAGCUAUGUGCGUGUCGUCCAUGGGGAAAGGAUGAGUCCGAACGAGCAUCUGUCGUCGCAUCCAGACUUCAAUCUAUACUUGGAAGAUUUCAAAGCGAUCUCUAUCAGUACUUCAAUCUGUCUAAAGACCCUAACGCCGAUGAGAUUUCAAAUCUAACCGCAGUACAGCUAGAAGGUGAUGACACUUUAGCCGAACUUAAGGCAAGAAUUCAAGUUGAUAAGGAUACAAGACAAGUUACGUCCGAUCCUACAAAGAAUAGAAGCAAGCUACCAGAGCUGGACCUAAUAUCUUUUCAUGGUGAGGUUCUAGAAUGGACACAAUUUUGGGACCAGUUUAGCUCCAACAUUGAUCAAAGAAACCUACGUGAUGUGGAUAAGUUGCUAUAUCUCAAAGCAUCAUUAAAGGGUGAAGCCAAAACUAUAAUCGAUGGUUUAGAAACUACAAACGAUAAUUAUAAAAUUGCCAUAGAUACUCUAAAGGAAAGAUACGGCAACAGAGUGCAGAUUAUUGAUGCUCACUAUUCUUCCUUAUACAAGAUUAAGAAAGCAGCAAGGCCGCAAGAUUGCAGAAAGACAUUGGAUGAACUCGAGAGACAUCUAAGAGUCUUACAGUCCCUAGGAGAGGACACUAAUAAAAAUCAUUUAAGAUUUCUUUUCAUGGAAAAGUUUCCUGAAGACGUCGUUUAUGAAAUGAAAUUAAAAU